rnacentral:rRNA from 1 species
CGGACGGGUGAGUAACGCGUGGGUAACCUGCCUCAUACAGGGGGAUAACAGUUAGAAAUGGCUGCUAAUACCGCAUAAGCGCACAGUACCGCAUGGUACGGUGUGAAAAACUCCGGUGGUAUGAGAUGGACCCGCGUUGGAUUAGCUAGUUGGCAGGGUAACGGCCUACCAAGGCGACGAUCCAUAGCCGGCCUGAGAGGGUGGACGGCCACAUUGGGACUGAGACACGGCCCAG